GCAGGUGGCAAGCGUUGUCCGGGAAUUAUUGGGCGUAAAGCGCGCGCAGGCGGUUCUUUAAGUCUGAUGUGAAAGCCCACGGGCUCAACCGUGGAGGGUCAUUGGAAACUGGAGAACUUGAGUACAGAAGAGGAAAGCGGAAUUCCACGUGUAGCGGUGAAAUGCGUAGAGAUGUGGAGGAACACCAGUGGCGAAGGCGGCUUUCUGGUCUGUAACUGACGCUGAGGCGCGAAAGCGUGGGGAGCAAACAGGAUUAGAUACCCUGGUAGUCCACGCCGUAAACGAUGAGUGCUAAGUGUUAGGGGGUUUCCGCCCCUUAGUGCUGCAGCUAACGCAUUAAGCACUCCGCCUGGGGAGUACGGCCGCAAAGGCUG
rnacentral:rRNA from 1 species